AUUGCUUCUCGGCCUUUUGGCUAAGAUCAAGUGUAGUAUCUGUAUCUUCAGUUUAAUAUCUGAUAUGUCCCCUAUCUGGGGACCUUAUAUUAAAUGGAUUUUUGAGAACUGGGGCUGAUUUAGAAGCUUUCUUCUGUCGCCCCAUGCAUUGACCCGAUAUGGCAGUAUAUUCGGGUACAGUGCACCAAAA